GGGUGUAGCUCAGUGGUAGAGCACAUGCAUAAAAUGUGUGAGAUCCUAGGUUCAAUCCCCAGCACUGCCA
rnacentral:tRNA from 1 species